rnacentral:rRNA from 1 species
AACGCGAAGAACCUUACCUGGGCUCGAAAUGUAGAGGACGACAUCAGAGAUGAUGUUUCUCGAAAGGGUCUCUAUAUAGGUGCUGCAUGGCUGUCGUCAGCUCGUGCCGUGAGGUGUUUGGUUAAGUCCAGCAACGAGCGCAACCCUUAUCGUUAGUUGCCAGCGAGUCAAGUCGGGAACUCUAACGAGACUGCCUGGGUUAACCAGGAGGAAGGUGAGGAUGACGUCAAGUCCGCAUGGCCUUUAUGUCCAGGGCAACACACGUGCUACAAUGGUCGGUACAGAAGGCUGCAAAACCGUAGGCGAAGCAAAUCCUAUAAAACCGAUCUCAGUUCAGAUUGAGGUCUGCAACUCGACCUCAUGAAGUUGGAAUUGCUAGUAAUGGCGUGUCAGCUACAACGCCGUGAAUACGUUCCCGGGCCUUGUACACACCGGACACGC